AAAAUAUUCAUUCAAAAUUUUGAAAAUGAAUGAAAAUCAACUAAAUAUCAUGCAAGAUCAUAAACUCUGCAUUAAAUAUUUUAUUUGGGAGAAUUUGAAAACUAUGAGCUUGAGUUUAUAGAGUCUGCAUUAUUGUGUCUAAAACCUUUUUAACGAGUAUCAUUUGCAUUUAUUUAAAUCUCAGUAUGAAUCUGAAUGCAGAGAAAUGAACUCCUGCUUAAAUUGUGUCUUGAUAUAUCAUAGUAAGUUGAAAUGCAAUAUUUAUUCCAACUGUUCAGUUUUGUUAUUUUAUAGAGUAGUCUUUGUUCAGAGAAAUAAUGUUUUUAUCAUUCCUAAGGGUGGAUACCAACAUUGUAAUCAUGUGUUUAGAAAUAUUCUUUUCAUGGAGAUAUAUAGGGGGGAAAGUAUGUUGUAAUAUUCAUGUUUGUUCUGCUUUAUUUUUAAGGAAAAUAAACAUGUUCCAAAAGACACUAUUAAAAUAAGUGUUUGAAUAAAUUUCAAUUUCUAGGUUUCUCUUCACUCCAAAUACGUAAAUAUACACAUUUCAGUUGGCUUUAAGUGGUUUAAUCUGUUAAAUGAAAUUUGAAAAUCUGUGUCAUUGUUGACAUCAUCAAUUAUACUUUAUAGAAAAUUAUGUAUGUAUGUGUUUUGGAGUCUAUAUAAGAAGCAAACUGGUAUAAUUUUAUCAUAAUGUGGCAGGGUGUAUCUCAAAAGGUGCAAACCAGUAUAGCCUGGAGACCCUCCCGUGAUGAGAGGCCCUGGGCGCACACAUACCUUCCUAGCCUUAACCACAGCUGGUUAAUGACAGACAUGCUAAAGGUACUG
rnacentral:lncRNA from 1 species